UGGCGGCGGCGCCUCCUUCCUGCGGCCGCCGCUCCCGAGCGCGCGCCCCCUCGCUACUGCGCGUGCCUGGCGCGGGGACCGCUGCAGAGGGAUAACGGCCCCCAGGCGCGCGCCGCGAGGGGAUGAGCAGCGCGGGACAGCAAGAAGCAACCGCAGCGCGCGCACGCCUGAGGGGCUUGCUGCCGCCGCCGCGGCCUGAGGCAGGGAGCGGGCGCGAAAGGAGCAGUGCGCGUGCGCCCCGAGAAAAUGCCGCUACUGCGGCUACUGCGGCGCGAGACUGAGCGCGAGGAGACCCGCGAACGGGCAGAGGGAGCGGGGUGGGCAAGUGCGCGUGCGCAUUAGGGGCUGCCAGGCGGCGCGGCUGCUGGCGCAAGGCGGAGGGAGUGGCUCAAGGGAGGCGCGCGCAAAGCGCGCGCCAGAAGCAGUCGAUCCUCCGCUCGCGCUGGCUCUGGAAGAAAACAGGAGUGGAGAGGCAUGGCCUGGCUCUGGAGGAGACGAAGGGCGCGAUCCCGCUCGCGCGGGACCUGACUAGCCAAUGGGAGGCAAGGCUCCUGAAAUUUGGGAAAGCAGAACCAGGGCUAAGUGGUAGAGGACUUCCACAGCGAACUGGAAGCUCUGGCUUCAAUCUCCGAUCAGGAACAUAAAGGUAGGGGAUUAAGGUAAGACUAUGUGAAGUGCUAAAAAUUAUGCCUUGCAUAUAACAAAGUGUUCUGUAAACACUGAUAAAAUUACAUGGGCUCAAGUUUUAAAACAUGUUUAAACAAAGCUUUUCAGAUUAAAGAUUGUUUCCAACGA